rnacentral:rRNA from 1 species
UUCCUUGAACCGCAUGGUUCAAGGAUGAAAGACGGUUUCGGCUGUCACUUACAGAUGGACCCGCGGCGCAUUAGCUAGUUGGUGGGGUAAUGGCUCACCAAGGCGACGAUGCGUAGCCGACCUGAGAGGGUGAUCGGCCACACUGGGACUGAGACACGGCCCAGACUCCUACGGGAGGCAGCAGUAGGGAAUCUUCCGCAAUGGACGAAAGUCUGACGGAGCAACGCCGCGUGAGUGAUGAAGGUUUUCGGAUCGUAAAGCUCUGUUGUUAGGGAAGAACAAGUGCGAGAGUAACUGCUCGCACCUUGACGGUACCUAACCAGAAAGCCACGGCUAACUACGUGCCAGCAGCCGCGGUAAUACGUAGGUGGCAAGCGUUGUCCGGAAUUAUUGGGCGUAAAGGGCUCGCAGGCGGUUUCUUAAGUCUGAUGUGAAAGCCCCCGGCUCAACCGGGGAGGGUCAUUGGAAACUGGGAAACUUGAGUGCAGAAGAGGAGAGUGGAAUUCCACGUGUAGCGGUGAAAUGCGUAGAGAUGUGGAGGGACACCAGUGGCGAACGCGACUCUCUGGUCUGUAACUGACGCU